rnacentral:rRNA from 1 species
UACAGAGGGGGCAAGCGUUAUUCGGAAUUAUUGGGCGUAAAGGGCGCGUAGGCGGCUUGGCAAGUGGAAGGUGAAAUCCCUCGGCUCAACUGAGGAACUGCCUUCCAGACUGCUUUGCUUGAGUCCGGGAGAGGUGAGUGGAAUUCCAGGUGUAGCGGUGAAAUGCGUAGAUAUCUGGAGGAACACCGGUGGCGAAGGCGGCAUCCUGGACCGACACUGACGCUGAGGCGCGAAAGCUAGGGUAGCAAACGGG